rnacentral:rRNA from 1 species
AUGGAUUGGAACCCGCAAGUUUUGUGCUGGAACGUGAGGGGGCUGAACAACUCGGCAAAGAGAAAUGCGGUUCGAGACUUUGUAGUGGGGGCGAAAGUUAAUAUCGUGUGUCUUCAAGAGACCAAAUUAGAUGUAAUCGAUUUGUUCACCGCUUUGCAAUGCAUUGGACCAUCGUUUGAUGGUUUUUCUUACUUGCUGGCUUCGGAUACUUGA